rnacentral:lncRNA from 1 species
GCAAAAUAAUAAAGUUACAAAAAGAAAGGAGGUGCCAACUACUGAAAAAACCGAAAGCACUUCAAAUGCGAUUGCAAGGCACCGAUGGACCGAAAAGGACAAACAAACUAUGCUUAAAUA